rnacentral:rRNA from 1 species
AUGAACAGAUUCAAGCAGAGCCCAUGGAGUAAGGUUCAGUGCGAGAUGAUUCUAUCAUUCCUGUCCUUUGCAGAGUAUUUCCAGCCUAGGUUCUUCCUUUUGGAAUAUGUCCGGAACUUUGUUUCAUUUAACAAGGGCUGGACGUUCAGACUGACACUAGCAUCGCUCCUGGAGAUGGGGUACCAAGUGAGUGCUUGA